GACGAACGCUGGCGGCGUGCUUAACACAUGCAAGUCGAACGGAGUGGCGAACGAGUGAGUAACACGUGAGUUACCUGCCUCGCACUUCGAGAAAAGCCUGGGAAACUGGGACUAAUACCGGUCAGUGUGGGAUGGGCCCGCGGCCUAUCAGCUUGUUGGUGGGGUAAUGGCCUAGCAAGGCGGCGACGGGUAGCCGGCCUGAGAGGGUGGACGGCCACAUUGGGACUGAGACACGGCCCAGACUCCUACGGGAGGCAGCAGUGGGGAAUAUUGCACAAUGGGGGGAAGCCUGAUGCAGCAACGCCGCGUGCGGGAUGACGGCCUUCGGGUUGUAAACUCCUUUCACCAUCGACGCGGUAGAUGGAGAAGAAGCACCGGCUAACUACGUGCCAGCAGCCGCGGUAAUAC
rnacentral:rRNA from 1 species